GAGGGUGGAGCUCAUUGGUAACGCACAUGCUUAGCAUGCAUGAGGUCCUGGGUUCAAUCCCCAAUACCUCCA
rnacentral:tRNA from 1 species